rnacentral:rRNA from 1 species
UACAGAGCCUCGAGCGUUAGGCGGAAUCACUGGGCUUAAAGCGUGUGUAGGCGGACUUCUAAGUACCUUGUGAAAUCCCACGGCUCACCCGUGGAACUGCUGGGUAUACUGGUCGCUCUUGAGGCCUUCUAGGGGCUGCCGGAACAAAUGGUGGAGCGGUGAAAUGCGUAGAUAUCAUUUGGAACGCCAAUGGGUGAAAAACAGGCAGCUGGGGAAGUGCUGAACGCCGUGAGACACGGAAAGCCAGGGGAGCGAACGGG